rnacentral:lncRNA from 13 species
GAAGGAAGGAAGGAAGGAAGGAAGGAAGGAAGGAAGGAAGGAUCGCUGCACUCCAGUCUGGGUGACAGAGUAACACCCUGUCUCAAAAAAAAAAAAAAAAUCAAGAGGCCAGGUAUGGUGGCUCAUGCCUGUAAUCCUAGCAGUCUGGGAGGCCAAGGCGGGAGGAUCACUUCCAGCCAGGAAUUUGAGACCAACCAGGGCAGUGAAGCAAGACCCCAUUUCUAUAGAAAAAAAAAAUUAAUAAAGUCAUGAAAAAUUCCGAAAAUGCUUCAAAAUCAGCGAGAAAAACUACUAGGUUGACAUGAGACCUAUUGGUGAUAACACGACUGACUUUGCAUUCUUUUAUACCCAAGUCUUCCUGGAGUACACUAAGGCUGUUAUUCUCUGAAAGGAGGGGUAAACUCUAGGUGACAUUCAGCACCUGUCCAGGUGAUGGCUGAGGAGCUGACCUGGUUGAAAGCGAACACUCCUUGAAAAAACAUCUUCUACCUGUGCCUGAGCACCUAAAGAACUCAAGGUCUACCCAAAGCAGCAAAACAAAAUCUCAAUUCCUGAAAAGGAUUGAUGGCUAGAAUGGGCAAGUUUCUUAGCAAGAAGAACUAUGAAGAAGUUGUGUUCUUAAAAGCCACAGAAGGGGCUGGGCGCGGUGGCUCCCAGUACUUUGGGAGGCCAAGGAUUACUUACAGGUGUGAGCCACCACACCCAGCUGCACUCACACUAUUCUUUAAUAUGGAAUUGAACGUCACCAAAAGUGCAACCUGAAAAUUGAGUCAGAUGCAAACGCACUGACUGUCCUAUCUGAUCUAUACCCAUAAACUGUAUCUGAUGAAUUUUAAUGAUAUUCAAAAAACCAAUGGGCAACAAUAUAUUAAUCCGUCAGUGAUAAGGGGCUGACUGAAGUCAAAGCCCCUGCACUUAAUGGCCAGCUGCAUGUUUAGAAAAAUACCACUGAGAUGGUGAAGAGGGGCCUUGUUCUCAUUAUUCUCCAUCAACUCUGCCACACUUCUACAAGCUUCAUUUACAUUUUCUUAUCCAAUUACAUCUUGCUCAAUUCCUCACUACAAUUUAUAGCGAAACUUUACAAAGCUUUUGAUCUGCAUCAUCUUACUAAACUUUUAUGAAAAAUCAGUGGAGUUCCAUCAUCUCACGAGGCUCUUCCUCACACAGUUGUCAGUGUGAGUGGAGAAGUCCAUUUAUCCCCAAAUCUGGAGGAGAGGUACCAAAACUACAAGAAGCGAUUUUACAAGCUCAGGUCCAGUACGUAGGAAAUUCUUUUAUUUUUCUAAAGUCAGCAUUUUAAAGAAUUGCAACCUGGUAAAAAUGAGCCUGAAGGGAAAAUGAAAACAGCCAGUUUUUAAUCUUCUUUGAUUUUUUUAAGACUCAGUCUCACUCUUGUCCACCAGGCUGGAGUGCAAUGGCACCAUCUUGGCUCACUGCAACCUCUGCCUUUCAGGUUAAGUGAUUCUCCUGCCUCAGCCUCCUGAGUAGCUGCGAUUACAGGCACCUGCCACCAUGCCCAGCUAAUUUUUGUAUUUUUACUAGAGAUGGGCUUUCACCGCAUUGGCCAGGCUGGUCUCGAGCUCCUGACCUCAGGUGAUCCACCCGCCUCAGCCUCGCAAAGUGCUAGGAUUACUGGGGUGAACCACCGCACCCAGCAGUCUUCUCUCUUUAAUGUGCUCAUGGGCUCUUCCUAGAAUAAUGCAUCAUUCUCUGGACCACAGUGAACUCAGGAAGCCAAGAUGUCGAGACAGCUGAGCCACUCAACAAAAAGAGAGAAACCUGCAGAUCCGCUGCAAGAAGAGAAAGAAACUGUCCUGGAACCCAGUGUCCAUGGAACCCUGCUGAGGAGCUCAGAUGCAUCUGCACCUCCCUGCCUCACCCACCACAUUCUAUGGAGAACUGUUUUAAAGGUUCACAUUUUCUAAAAAGAAAGGGCCCGCUGUUACUACUUUGCCAAUCAACAACGUAGACCCUUCUCUUCCUCUGCUUCCUCUCCGAAAGGUACUGGAUUGGGUUCCAGAAAUUUUUAUAUAGAAAAUUCAGGCCAAUUCAGUAACUGAGUAAAAAACUAGUUGUAGAGGCCCAGCUUCUCAUCCUACUCAGAUUCACUGAAGAGCAAAUACUCUGCACAGCACGGUUUUCCACCUGCUCCCCUGAGCCCAGGAUCUGUACAUGAGGCCACCUCCGCUGGGGACCCCUACACAUGGCUGCCCUAUGGGUUCCCCACAUUCAGUUUGUCCAAACCUGACCUUGCUGUCAUCUCCCCAGCGUCUCUCUAUAGAUAGUUCAGUGUUAUUAUUGUCAUUCCCCUGGUAACUUGGGCCAGAAAUCUGAAAGCCAGCCUAGAAUCCUCUUACCUUCCAAAUAUUGCAUGAAUCUCUCCUGAUCCUCAAUUCAGUCUUUACAAUCAACACAACAGCCCCCAAAAUCUCUCCUAUGCUACAACAAAUAGCUUCCCAACUGUUCUUUCUGCCUCCUAUCUUGGCCAUAUAAAUGCAUAAUAAAUGACAAUGAUCUAGCUGAAAAAUGUAAUUC